rnacentral:lncRNA from 1 species
CAGGUAGACAAGACAAGUACAUUUUACUCAAAUUAACAAUGUGGACAGGUGAAUUGCACUUUUUCUUUGACUUUUAACGUUUUUAACUGAAGGUGUUUUCCGUGUACCUUAAUCAGCUGUUUAUCCUAGAAAUCAUGAACGAUCUCAACAGAUUCUAAAUCUCAAGGUUGUUCGUUUUAUUAAGACAACUGAAAAAGUACGACGGACAGAGUGGACAUCAUGGUAACAGAAGAAACUUUUAUUUAUUCCGGAC